rnacentral:rRNA from 1 species
GAUGAACGCUGGCGGCGUGCUUAACACAUGCAAGUCGAACGGAAAGGCCCCAGCUUGCUGGGGUACUCGAGUGGCGAACGGGUGAGUAACACGUGGGUGAUCUGCCCUGCACUUUGGGAUAAGCUUGGGAAACUGGGUCUAAUACCGAAUAUGACCACUUCUUGGAUGUUGUGGUGGAAAGCUUUUGCGGUGUGGGAUGAGCCUGCGGCCUAUCAGCUUGUUGGUGGGGUAAUGGCCUACCAAGGCGGCGACGGGUAUCCGGCCUGAGAGGGUGUACGGACACAUUGGGACUGGGAUCCGGCCCAGACUCCGACGGGAGGCAGCAGUGGGGAAUAUUGCACAAUGGGCGCAAGCCUGAUGCAGCGACGCCGCGUGGGGGAUGAAGGCCUUCGGGUUGUAAACUCCUUUCGCUAUCGACGAAGCCACUUGUGGUGACGGUAGGUAGAUAAGAAGCACCGGCUAACUACGUGCCAGCCGCCGCGGUAA